rnacentral:rRNA from 1 species
GACAGAGGUCCCGAGCGUUAGGCGGAAUCACUGGGCUUAAAGCGUGUGUAGGCGGAUCGUUUAAGUGCCUUGUGAAAUCCCAUGGCUUAACCAUGGAACUGCUUGGCAUACUGGCGGUCUUGAGCCACUUAGGGGCAACCGGAACAAAGGUGGAGCGGUGAAAAUGCGUAGAUAUCAUUUGGAACGCCAAUGGUGAAAAACAGGUUUGCUGGGAGUGUGCUGACUGAGA